rnacentral:misc_RNA from 1 species
UAUUUCCGCACAACACCCCCGCCGCACAACACUUCCCUUCCCCCUCGCGCGACGUCGGGAAACGUGUCGAGCGGCGAGAGUUGUCGGCUCGUCAUUGGCUGCCUCGCGCCGUGUCAACAAACGCCAAGAUGGUUGGUAUCGAGUCUAUGUCAAGGUAUGUCUCCCCGGUGAAUCCCGCCAUCUACCCACACUUGACGUUAGUUCUCAUGAGCAUUGGGAUAUUCUUCACAGCAUGGUUCUUUGUGUAUGAAGUCACCUCCACAAAGCUCACAAGAGACUUCUUCAAGGAGUGCCUCAUUGCCCUUGUUGCUUCUGUGUUUAUGGGAUUCGGCAUCUUGUUCCUACUUCUAUGGGUAGGGAUAUACGUUUGAGAGGGUUUAUAAGGAUAUAGAAGCGUAAAAAUGAGCAUUUGGAAGUGAGUGAAAGGCACCAUAGUCAUUCCAGCAAAUUGAAGUCUGAUUCCAUGUUGUGACUGAAAUAAAGGGUUGUUGUUUUUCCA